rnacentral:lncRNA from 1 species
CUAGGAGGGGAACACCGCGCGAUGCGCGGUGUAAUUUUCAAGUUUGCCCAGAAAUGUUCAAUUAUUUAAACUGAGAUAUUCAAUAUAAAAAGUUACGUGAAGGUGCAUCCAAAUGUUUGUAAUUAUUUUUUGUAAUUUUAUUAAGCAAUGAAGAGAGGCACAAUUUCAGUCUGGUUGCUAAAUGACAGUCAUUUUUGGUAUGCUGACUGAUUUGGACAGCAAUGGCAAUGUCAUUAGUUUGAAAAUAAUAUAACACUGUGUAAUGCUGCCUUAUAUUUUUU